rnacentral:rRNA from 1 species
AUAGUUUGAUUAUGGCUCAGAUUGAACGCUGGCGGCAGGCCUAACACAUGCAAGUCGAGUGAGAAAGCACUUCGGAGCGAGUACAGCGGCGGACGGGUGAGUAACGCGUAGGAAUCUACCCGGUAGUGGGGGACAACUUGUGGAAACGCAAGCUAAUACCGCAUACGCCCUAUGGGGGAAAGCGGGGGAUCUUCGGACCUCGCGCUAUCGGAUGAGCCUGCGUAGGAUUAGCUAGUUGGUGGGGUAAAGGCUCACCAAGGCGACGAUCCUUAGCUGGUCUGAGAGGAUGAUCAGCCACACUGGAACUGAGACACGGUCCAGACUCCUACGGGAGGCAGCAGUGGGGAAUAUUGCGCAAUGGGGGAAACCCUGACGCAGCCAUGCCGCGUGUGUGAAGAAGGCCUUAGGGUUGUAAAGCACUUUCAAUUGGGAGGAAAGGUUGCACGUUAAUAGCGUGUAGCUGUGACGUUACCUUUAGAAGAAGCACCGGCUAACUCCGUGCCAGCAGCCGCGGUAAUACGGAGGGUGCGAGCGUUAAUCGGAAUUACUGGGCGUAAAGCGCGCGUAGGCGGUUUGUUAAGUCGGAUGUGAAAGCCCUGGGCUCAACCUGGGAACUGCAUUCGAUACUGGCCGACUAGAGUACGAGAGAGGGAGGUAGAAUUCCACGUGUAGCGGUGAAAUGCGUAGAUAUGUGGAGGAAUACCGGUGGCGAAGGCGGCCUCCUGGCUCGAUACUGACGCUGAGGUGCGAAAGCGUGGGGAGCAAAC